CGGCGGACGGGUGAGUAACACGUGGGUAACCUACCUAUAAGACUGGGACAACUUCGGGAAACCGGAGCUAAUACCGGAUAAUAUGUUGAACCGCAUGGUUCAAUAGUGAAAGAUGGUUUUGCUAUCACUUAUAGAUGGACCCGCGCCGUAUUAGCUAGUUGGUGAGGUAACGGCUUACCAAGGCAACGAUACGUAGCCGACCUGAGAGGGUGAUCGGCCACACUGGAACUGAGACACGGUCCAG
rnacentral:rRNA from 1 species